rnacentral:rRNA from 1 species
UACGGGGGGGGGCAAGCGUUGUUCGGAAUUACUGGGCGUAAAGGGUUUGUAGGUGGCUUGCUAAGUCAGACGUGAAAUCCCUCAGCUUAACUGGGGAACUGCGUCUGAGACUGGCAAGCUUGAGUGCAGGAGAGGAACGCGGAAUUCCAGGUGUAGCGGUGAAAUGCGUAGAUAUGCGGAGGAACACCGAUGGCGAAGGCAAUCCCCUGGGCCUGCACUGACGCUCAUGCACGAAAGCGUGGGGAGCAAACAGG